CUUUGUUUUGUACAGAAGAAUGGCUGCCAUCUUUAGUUUUCGAUGGAUGUUUUCCGAAGAGAUCGUGAAUUCUCGUAUUUAUCGCGAUAUUUAAUUACGUAGGAAAAUCUCGAACAGUGAAAUAACGUUGUCCGCGAUGUAAAGAGUGUUUUGCCGUUCGUUAUUGAAGCUGCCCUGGUGUCAGUUCCGUUGAAAAAUGCUUGUGUUUACAUCCAAGUUUAAAGUCAGCCUCUGUAUUCCUGUCAUAUUAAGCUAGACAAGUGACUUUCAAUUUUAUUUGCACACAUGCGUGCAUUAUUCAAAUACCAGCCAUGCUUGCCACAGCGUCAAUAAAGUCAACAGCAGAAGUUUCUGAAUUACGAGAAGACUUGGUCAUGACUAAUGUCAUUUCACAUUGCCAGUUUAGCAGUGAAGAUACCAUCUACCAUUUUACGGUUGUCUUGUUCAUUGAAAUAUCUUUACAACCACUGUCUGCCAUUAAGGUAUCUUGACCACCGACCAUAAGGCAUACCGAUAAGCUGUUUCAAACAAGCCAGCGAACAUGUUUUUUAAGUAUCUCCAAAGAAGCAGUAACAUGUAUCUAAUGUGCUAGAAAACUUGUUGAAAAGGAAAACCAAAUGCUCAUUCUCUAAAGGAGACAGAAUUGGUUUGUACAUCUGCAUUCGAAUUCAAGUACUUUCUCGGCAUAAAAUACUUUUCGGAGCAUUACAAGAUAAGUAUUAAAAGUUCGCAUAAUGAAUUACGUUUUAAAAAUCUUGUUUGUAGGGGAUGUAUCGUAGAAAUUGGUCGGAAAUCUCGACAGUGGCAUUGUUUUGAAUGUCAAGAGUGUCGUUAAAGACAAGAGUAUGCGUUUCGACGUGCAGAAUGUUUGAAAAAAAAAAAGCUGGAAAGAGAGAGUUUAGAUACAUCGAAACUGAUUUUACGGGCGGGAAUAGAAAAAUCUGCUAGGCGGCGCUGGUUUCUCACUACUCGGAGCCGCCAUGUUGCUGGCUCUGUUGCUCCUGUCGUCUCUCUCGCUCUCUUUCUCUCCAUGUCGUGUCGCCCCCCUUCCCGGCAUUUACUUUCGUCAGCCCCUCUCGUUCUCCUUUUUCUUGAUCUUUUCGCGAUCCCUACCAAUACAGCUUGUGUGUCUCUCCUAUUUUCUCUUUCCACCCCCUCUUCCGCGAAACUUCUGCGCGUUCCUCUUUCCUGUCACGCUAAAUUCCCUUCUCUGCAUGUCUUGUACCUUGGCCGAGAGAGCAGCUUGCCUGCAUCCU